GAACGCACCUUGCGCUCCCUGGUAUUCCGGGGAGCAUGUCUGUUUGAGUGUCAUGAACUCUUCAACCCACCAGUUUCUUGUAGACUGAUUGGUGUUUGGAUUUUGAGCGCUGCUGGUCUUCGGAUCUAGCUCGUUCGUAAUAUAUUAGCAUCUCUAAUUCGACUUCGGAUUGACUCAGUGUAAUAGACUAUUCGCUGAGGACACACCUAGUGUGGCCGAACGUUGAUCUCAGUAGAAGCUUCCAACUAUUGUAGUCAAUUUUAGAUUAGACCUCAGAUCAGGCAGGAUUACCCGCUGAACUUAAG
rnacentral:misc_RNA from 1 species